rnacentral:rRNA from 1 species
AUGCAAGUCGAACGAGAAAGUGGAGCAAUCCAUGAGUAAAGUGGCGCACGGGUGAGUAACACGUGACUAACCUACCCUGGAGUGGGGGAUAACUGAGGGAAACCUUAGCUAAUACCGCAUAAUACCUACGGGUCAAAGGAGCAAUUCGCUUCAGGAGGGGGUCGCGGCCGAUUAGUUAGUUGGCGGGGUAAUGGCCCACCAAGACAGUGAUCGGUAUCCGGCCUGAGAGGGCGCACGGACACACUGGAACUGAAACACGGUCCAGACUCCUACGGGAGGCAGCAGUGGGGAAUUUUGCGCAAUGGGGGAAACCCUGACGCAGCAACGCCGCGUGGAGGAUGAAGUCCUUCGGGACGUAAACUCCUUUCGAUCGGGACGAUUAUGACGGUACCGGAAGAAGAAGCCCCGGCUAACUUCGUGCCAGCAGCCGCGGUAAUACGAGGGGGGCGAGCGUUGUUCGGAAUUAUUGGGCGUAAAGGGUGCGUAGGCGGUUUGGUAAGUCUUAUGUGAAAUCUAUGGGCUCAACUCAUAGACUGCAUGAGAAACUGCCGGGCUUGAGUAUGGGAGAGGUGAGUGGAAUUCCUGGUGUAGCGGUGAAAUGCGUAGAUAUCAGGAGGAACACCUGUGGCGAAAGCGGCUCACUGGACCAUAACUGACGCUGAUGCACGAA